rnacentral:rRNA from 1 species
UCAGGACGAACGCUGGCGGCGUGCUUAACACAUGCAAGUCGAACGAGGUAUAGCGAGUGGAAGCUUCGGUGGAAACAUGCUAUUACCGAGUGGCGGACGGGUGAGUAACGCGUGAGCAACCUACCCUGCAACGGGGGACAACAGUUGGAAACGACUGCUAAUACCGCAUAAGACCACGAAACCGCAUGGUUUAGAGGUAAAAGGAUUAAUUCGAUGCAGGAUGGGCUCGCGUCCCAUUAGAUAGUUGGUGAGGUAACGGCCCACCAAGUCAACGAUGGGUAGCCGACCUGAGAGGGUGAUCGGCCACACUGGAACUGAGACACGGUCCAGACUCCUACGGGAGGCAGCAGUGGGGAAUAUUGGGCAAUGGGCGAAAAAGCCUGACCCAGCAACGCCGCGUGAGGGAAGAAGGUCUUCGGAUUGUAAACCUUUGUCCUAUGGGACGAAACAAAUGACGGUACCAUAGGAGGAAGCUCCGGCUAACUACGUGCCAGCCGCCGC